GUCAGCAUAAAAAUCUGUAUUUUCUGUGACGUUAGGUGAUUGUUAUAACUGGCAAAAAUUUUGGAAAACAGCCAGGAUUGUACGCGCACACACAUGCAAGCACGUUCUCGGUCUCUCCGAGUCUUUCUGUCUCUUUUUCACUCAUUCACUCGUAUUCAUUGCACGACCAAUGCGAAGCGGCGGUCGUGCAUGGUGGGGGAUGGACCAAUGGACAUCCCGCGACGAUCGUAUCGUAUGCGUUGAAACAAUCGAUGCGUUAAUCAAUAAUCCUGCGGUUAUUGGAAGCGUUAACAUCAAGACGAUAUGGCAGCAUACACAAACGAAGAAUAUUAUGACAUGCUAUUGACACUCGGAGCCUGUCACGGCCAGGUCGCCGCUGCUGCUCGAAGAUACACCGAGCUGUACCCCAACCGAGCAAGACAUCCGUCGCACCACGUUACAGGGGACAUGAAGAUUUUAUUAGUGAUUAUACAGGAUAAACUUAUGCGAGCGCAAAUUUUGCAAAAAUACAUGUUUUUUUGGUGAUACAACACAUGAUAUGGUGGUGUUAUCUUUGAGAAGGUAAACGAGCAAGCCUUAGACCGUAGCCUAAGAGAAAGAGACUUUCAAAGCUGAAAGCAAAUUGUAUUGAAGCGUAUCGAGCGGCGCAGAUCGCCUUACCAAGUCAUCAGGAAAGUAAAAAUGGAAAAAACGAUGGCAAAGCGAACCUGCAACGCAUAUCGGUGACUGUUUCACACAUUACCACACGUUAGAAAAAUAUGAGAUAUGAAAUUUUGAUUUUUUCGUUAUAAAUAUGUUCCUCAAUGUCUAAAGAUUCAUAUAAAUCGAGAGCGGCGCAGAUCGCCUUACCAAAUCAGGAAAGUAAAAUUGGAAAAAACAAUGGCAAAGCGAACCUGCAACGCAUAUCGGUGACUGUUUCACACGUUACCACACGUUAGAAAAAUAUGAGAUGUGAAAUUUUGAUUUUUUUCGUCAUAAAUAUGUUCCUCAAUGUCUCAAGAUUCAUAAACCGAAUAUCAUUACAAUAAAUUACUCGCUUGCAAAAUUACACUAUUUAAUACGACGCGAUUCCUAUUUGCACAUUUUCCGAAGAAGGUGCCGCCGAGCUGCUGGUAAGUAACCCGCGAGAUACAUAACUCCGAGUGCAAAAAACAAAAUAAUUAAAAUAUCUCGUCGACUUGUGGAAGAUAAAUGCGGUCUCUCGUCGAUAUUAUGAAAUUUCCGAUGUAUUUCUUCGAUCGUGUUUACAAUGUCAAUGCCACGACCGAGCACGAUCAGAAGUCCAGAUCGAGCGGAGUAUCAAGGACGAGGAUAAUAGACGAGGAUGAUAUUGCCAGCUGCGGCGAAUCAUUCGUUACGAG